GGUUGCCCACUUCCAGGCCAGCUCUCUGCUGUGGCCUGGGGGUGCAGUGGAGGAUGGCCCGAGUGCUUGGGCCCUGCACCCCAUGGGAGACCAGGAGAAGCACCUGGCUCCUGCCAUCGGAUCAGCGCCGGGGCGGCCGGCCCAGCGCGCCGGCCGCGGUGGCCGUUGGAGGGUGAACCAACGGCAAAGGAAGACCUUUCUCUCUGUCUCUCUCUCACUGUCCACUCUGCCUGUAAAAAAAAAAAAAAAAAAAAAAAAAAAAAUGUAAUUUUUAGGGUGAAGAAUGGGCCUAAAUGGGAACUUUUUAGUUAUUGUUUAAUUUAUUUAUUUGAGAGCCAAAGUUACAGAGAAAGUAGGAGGAAGAGAGAGAGAAAGGUUUUCCAUCCUCUGAUUCACUCCCCAAAUGGCCACAACGGCCAGAGAUGGGCUGAUCCAAAGCCAGGAGCCUGCAGUUUCUUCCAGGUGUCCCCACGUGGGUGCAGAUGCACAAGUACUUUGGCCAUUUUGCUUCUUUCCAGGCCAUCAGCAGAGAGCUGGAUUGGAAGAGGAGCAGCCAGGACAUUAACUGGUGCCCUAAUGGGAUGCUGGCAUCACAGGCAGAUGCUUAAUCUACUAUACCACAGUGCAGACCCCAAAUUUCAAUUUUUUAGAAAGUUGUCAUGCCAAGCCACCUUGCACUUAAAAGGACUGAGAUAUUUCAGCACUAUGACAGGUCUCUGGGAUUUUAACUCUGUUCUUGGUAGACAAGAUUAUGAAGCUCUUCAGCUACAAAAACAAAGCAUUUCUUUAAGAAAAUGCUUCUCUCAAACCGCAGAGUCUUUUGCUAAGAAGAAUAAGGAACUAGAUGUGAGGUUUUCAAACAUAUUGGUCAUCAUCUGUUACCCAUCUCCAGGGCAUGACCCUUAUCUUCAUGGAUCAAGAUCAUAACUAGAUGUUAAUUUGCUACACUUCCAUUACAAGAAGCAGGAUGUAGAGAAGAAAAAGAAGUAAAGGAUGUAGCUUCCCUAUUUUAAUGAAAGCUCCAAAGCCGUAUGUCAUAUUUUUACUUUCUUUCUAUUAUUUAAACUAGUCAUAAUCACAUCAAAUUCACACAUGCAAAAUCCAGAAAAUGCAGUUUUUGUUCUGGGAAACAACAUGUACAUGUAAGAGUUGAGGGUUCUGUUAGUAUGAGAGAAACAGAAAGUAGAUAAUGGAAGGCUGAUUUGUAGGUUCUACUAAAGUGUUUACUAAAUAACAACAGUUAUUGUUUAUUUCAUAGGCUGAAAAGUAAUGUAUAUUAUAGCACAGUGAAUUAUGUAUUACAGUUUAAGCUGAUCUAAUUUUGAAAGGAGACAUUCUACAAAAUAUUCUAGAGGUGUCUGUAUAUUCUAGAUUUUUUCUCCCUCUGGUAAGCCCUGUUUCCGUCACUACUAAGAGUCUAUAACUUACAGUUUCUUUCAUAGAUAAUAUGGACAUUAAAGUUUCAUUGCAAUGUGCACAAGAUAAAUGACUUACUGUAGAGUUUCCAAAGCUUUACAGAGAGUAUGUUUGCAUGUGGUGUGUUUGUGCGUGUAUGUGUAUAGACAAAGAAAGAGAGACAGAAACAGAGAAAAACCUUUGGAAAACUAUCAAAACUAAUUUGCUUAACAUCAAAAUUGUUUAUAGCCAACGCUCUGAUGUGAAUUUGUGAUAAUAGAUAAAUUGAUAGCCAGGGGUUGCUGUGGCGUAGCAGGUACAUCCACCGUCUGCAGUGCCAGCAUCCCAUAUGGGCGCCAGUUCAAGAACUGGCUGCUCCACUUCUGAACAUCUCUCUGCUGUG
rnacentral:lncRNA from 1 species